rnacentral:rRNA from 1 species
UACGUAGGGGGCAAGCGUUGUCCGGAUUUAUUGGGCGUAAAGAGCGUGUAGGCGGCUUUACAGGUCCGUUGUGAAAACUCGAGGCUCAACCUCGAGACGUCGGUGGAAACCGUUUGGCUAGAGUCCGGAAGAGGAGAGUGGAAUUCCCGGUGUAGCGGUGAAAUGCGCAGAUAUCGGGAAGAACACCCGUGGCGAAGGCGGCCCGCUGGGCAGGAAGACACCGCAAGGUGUCGGCUGACGCUGAGGCGCGACAGCGUGGGGAGCAAACAGG